rnacentral:rRNA from 1 species
ACGGGGGGUGCAAGCGUUGUUCGGAAUCAUUGGGCGUAAAGGGCGUGUAGGCGGCUGGAUAAGUCAGAUGUGAAAUCCCUGGGCUUAACCCAGGAAGGGCAAUUGAAACUGUCCGGCUUGAGUGAGGGAGAGGAAAGUGGAAUUCCUGGUGUAGAGGUGAAAUCCUGUGAUACUAGGAGGAACACCUGUGGCGAAGGCGUCUUACCAGCACGGCUCCGACAGUGAGGAGCGAAAGCGGGGGGAGCAAACCG